rfam:Prunus persica cultivar Lovell chromosome G3, whole genome shotgun sequence.
UGAUGAAAAUGAUGAAAGAGAUGUGUAAGGGUGAUGAUCAUUCGAUUUCACGUGAUCAAACAAAUUCUCUUCGCUACGUUCUUUCUGAUUCUUAA